GAAAUAGAACCUGAAACCGUGUACGUACAAGCAGUAGGAGCAGGCUUUGUCCUGUGACUGCGUACCUUUUGUAUAAUGGGUCAGCGACUUAUAUUCAGUGGCAAGGUUAACCAUCUAGGGGAGCCGUAGGGAAACCGAGUCUUAACUGGGCGUUCAGUCUCUGGAUAUAGACCCGAAACCAGGUGAUCUAGCCAUGGGCAGGUUGAAGGUUGAGUAACAUCAACUGGAGGACCGAACCGACUAAUGUUGAAAAAUUAGCGGAUGACUUGUGGCUAGGGGUGAAAGGCCAAUCAAACCUGGAGAUAGCUGGUUCUCCCCGAAAGCUAUUUAGGUAGCGCCUCGGACGAAUACUACUGGGGGUAGAGCACUGUUAAGGCUAGGGGGUCAUCCCGACUUACCAACCCUUUGCAAACUCCGAAUACCAGUAAGUACUAUCCGGGAGACACACGGCGGG
rnacentral:rRNA from 1 species